GAUGAACGCUGGCGGCGUGCUUAACACAUGCAAGUCGAACGAUGAUCCCAGCUUGCUGGGGGAUUAGUGGCGAACGGGUGAGUAACACGUGAGUAACCUGCCCUUGACUCUGGGAUAAGCCUGGGAAACUGGGUCUAAUACCGGAUAUGACUGUCUGACGCAUGUCAGGUGGUGGAAAGCUUUUGUGGUUUUGGAUGGACUCGCGGCCUAUCAGCUUGUUGGUGGGGUAAUGGCCUACCAAGGCGACGACGGGUAGCCGGCCUGAGAGGGUGACCGGCCACACUGGGACUGAGACACGGCCCAGACUCCUACGGGAGGCAGCAGUGGGGAAUAUUGCACAAUGGGCGCAAGCCUGAUGCAGCGACGCCGCGUGAGGGAUGACGGCCUUCGGGUUGUAAACCUCUUUCAGUAGGGAAGAAGCGAAAGUGACGGUACCUGCAGAAGAAGCGCCGGCUAACUACGUGC
rnacentral:rRNA from 1 species